rnacentral:rRNA from 1 species
UACGGGGGGAGCAAGCGUUGUUCGGAUUUACUGGGCGUAAAGGGCGCGUAGGCGGUCAGCACAAGUCAGUUGUGAAAUCUCCGGGCUUAACUCGGAAAGGUCAACUGAUACUGUGCGACUAGAGUGCGGAAGGGGCAACUGGAAUUCUUGGUGUAGCGGUGAAAUGCGUAGAUAUCAAGAGGAACACCGGUGGCGAAGGCGGGACUCUGGGCCGAUACUGACGCUGAGACGCGAAAGCGUGGGGAGCGAACAGG